GUAUGUAAAAAGCCCGGCGCGGAAUCCACGAGUUUCGUGUUUUUGAUUUCCUUAUUCCGGUGCGAUCUUCAUCAUUUUCCGGUGAAAAAGAUCUCCACUUUUGCUCUCAAAAUCCUACAAAAACCCUUGUCAACUUGUGUGUAAGACGAAGUUUUCUGGUUCUACAAUGCUCGAAUGGCUCAGUACAGACAAUCGGGUGCUAUAGGUAUUAUAAACAAUGGUGGUGGUGGUGGUGGAGUUGUUCGGAACGGAGUUGCAUCGGAUCAUGUAUCGGUUGGGAUUCGUUCGAGUAAACAGCAGCAGCAGCAGCAAUCGCGGAAUUAUCACCGUCGAUUGAAGUCUACUACUCGCAAGAUCUCGAUUGGUGCUAUCAUCGUUAUUCUAUUCGUUGCUUUUGUUGUUUCCGUCUCUGCUUUCUUCUAUUUCACAUCUCAAAAUAAAGAGUUAGAUAAUAAUCACUUUCAAGAUGAUGGUGAUGUGGAAAAUGAUUCAGAUUUUCUUACAAAUGUGACACGGACACAAGGGAAGGUUCUCCAAUUUGGACAUGGGUCAGUAAAUCAUGGCCGGGAUUCUCGUUAUUGGGAUAAGGAUGACCGGAGAAGGGAUGAUGAUUACAACGAGGAGGAUUUGGAGCGGAAUCAAG
rnacentral:misc_RNA from 1 species